AGGGGUAUGGUGAAGAGGUAUCACGCGGGUCUCCAAAACCCUAAUCGGAGGUUCAAUUCCUCCUACCCCUGCCA
rnacentral:tRNA from 2 species